ACAGUGCAUUAUGCAAUUUAUGAAGAUGUUGGUACUUUGAAUGUUCCAUCUGACACACUGGAAGAAGUCUUCAUUUGGACAGAACCGGUUUUCUAAAAGCAUAUGUGAUUAUGUUAUAGUUAGCCUAAGUAAAAGUGGAUAGAAUUGGACAAUCCCAGUGUUCUACUAUUUCACUACUAAGUAGACGAAGAAGUGAGGUGUGACUCUUUGAAGAGAAAACUAUAGAAAUUGCACAUAUUAUUUUAUAAAUAUCAAACAGCAUUCAGUUUGAAUUUGUACGUUAGCUUAGUAGCACAUGUUUCUCCUAGCUGCUUCACCCAUUGGUCUGGAAAAACAUCAAAAGGAAAGAUUCUGAAGGGGUAAAAUUGAAAUAGCCCUUUCAGAUAUUAGCAUGAAGCCUAUAGACAAGCUUUCUCUCUUAACCAAGCUAGAUAUAUCAAGCUAAUAUUAAUCCCAUUUAAUGAAAAACCAUAGCUGUUUCUUAUGGUCAUGUUUUGUUUCCCCCCCCACCAAACUGUGUUUAUGUCGACAAUCAGUCGAUUAAGAUUUGUGGGGGAAUAUCUUUGCACAAAGCGGCUGCUGAUUUCAAUAAGCAACUCAGCUGUGAUUUAUAGACUUAAUCCCCCACAGACAGUGUGUGCAGCCAGCUCUAAUGAAAUACAUUGGUUUGGAUGUGAUCUGAGGAGUCAAGAUAGCUGCGCCAUGUGGUAAAGAACAUAUGGAUCAUUGAGCUCCUCUCCAACAUUCCUGAACAAUCUGGACAGGACAUUGAACGUUUUAUCACCACCAAGGACUUAGCAGUUGCCCUACGGAUGCAUCCAGCUGCCUGUUCCCAGCGGGAGAAGCAUCCUCUGGAAAAACAGGAAAAGACCUCUUGCACAUUGCUACUAAAACACAACAUUGUGACUGCACUGAAUCUUAUUGCCACUCUUUCAUAACUCUGAUGACAACUAAUUCCUGCAUUCCGGCAGAAAAAGACGUAGGAGCUGCAAUCUCUCUCCAAAUCUGACUGAGACUGUCUGAGGCCGCAAGGGGAGGGGUCAGUCAAUCAGUCAUUCAGUCAUUGCUCUGCCUUCAACAUGGCUGAGUUCACUCGAGGUUCAACCCUGCCCAGCAGAGCAGUGUGAAACCCAGUCUGCCUGCCACACUCUGGAACACACUCUGCUGAACCCACGGCACCAGGGGAAGGAAAUGUUUUCUACUUGCUGUUAAAACACAUGUCCUACCGCUUUCUGUUUGUGUGCUAAACUGCUUGAGCUCACAGUCAAGGCAUUCAAAGAUAGCGAUCAUUAACAAUUCUGGGUGGCUUUUCCUUUAGAUGGGGAGGGCAUUCAUCUUGGGGAAAUAGAAGAGGAGAGACAUGUUUAACGAGGGGGUCUUUUUUGAUUUCCCAGGACAUGUACGACUUAUGCUUUUCAGCAUGCCAGACAUUAAAGAAAUGGCCGUGCAUAGGCCUACAGCACUUGAGCAACCACAUAUAUGGCUGUGUUUCAAGGACACAACCUUAAGUUUAUUUUGCUGAGGAGUGAAGUUGAAAGUGUGGGCGUAAUUCUGAGAUUGUCUCUGGACUUCAACUUUCCUUGAACCCUGUCAUUUUUAGUGUUGGGGGCACAGCUGCAAUGAACGCUUGUAUCCACAUCUUCAGUGUUCUAUAGCAUGUAAAUCUUCAUGUAUAUUGAUAGCAGGUUACAUAACAUCCUCAGCAGCUGCUGCCUCACAAACACACAGGAAUUUACAUGUUCUGUACGCGGUUUCUCUUUUUCAAUCUGUGCAUGCAUAUGUGUGCCUGUGCAUGCAUUUUAUGUGCCUAUGUGGAAUGGAAGACAUUAUGAAACUUCUUAAUGAAAAGGAGACCUUUAGCAGUGGUGUAAGCUGCUUCAAAAGCAUUCACACUAAAGGAAAGUGCUACGCCUUAAGUGGUUAAUGUUUAUCCCACAAUAGAGGAGGUGAAACCUGGUGUGUCUCUUUAAGGUACACCAUACAUGGCAGGCCCUCUGCUUGUUGUAGCACAAAAAAGAGCUGCAUUCAGUCUUUCCCUUUUUUCACUUGUGUGAUCGAUUGUGCCAGGCCGGUUACAUGCUAAUUCUGCCUGAUAUGUUUAGAAACCUAUUUAACUUUGUAAAGACUUUAUUUCAGAUGCAGUGGUGUUGGCUUAGGUCAGUCUAUACUGAUUACCCCUCUGACUUAAAACCCUGUAUUUUCCUUGAAACCCCCCGCCAGCACGCAGAUUCAAUUUCAUUUUCGGUGGUCAAAACCAGAUAGGUAAAAAAAUGGUUAAACCCACACACAUAAUGUGCAGUGGAAGAGAAGCCAAUGAGCCGAGCAGAUGCCGAUAUGUGUUGUCUUCACUUUAUGUUUCCCUUUGUUAAAUGCGGUGGACAGAGGCUCUGAUUUUGCUCUUCCAUUAAGUCGAUGGCUUGUAUGAAACAGAUUAGGGGAAUAGUAGGAUAUGAGAUACGUAUGGUGUUACCUACAGUUGUAGGAUAUUCACCUCAAAAGCUUUGUUUUUAAUGUUAAAAUAUGACUUAAUAAAUAUUUAUUUGACCUGAAAACAAACUAACUCUUUAAAAUCAUCAAACUGGCAUAAGUACAUAAAUAACAACCAAAAGAGGUGUGGUUCUUCUUUUAGUUAUCUCUUCAAAAAAAAAAAAAAGUCCAGAGGCUGAGAUAUCCUGAUUUUAGAACGAUCCUAUGAUUACCAUAAUGAAACAUAAAAUCUUACCUUAGGCCUUACCAGACUAGUUAAUACCUUAACCUUUCAAAUUCAGUCUCUCAGGUCCUAUACUGACUCAACUGAAUUUGGUGACCCUGAUGAUUCACAAAGCUCCAGAACCAUAGAAAACACAAAAGGACUGUAUACUCUGUCUGGGACUGCCAAUAAUAUACGUAAACUCACCUUUAUUAGUUAAAUAUACCCCUUUAAGUUUACCACACUAGUUUUUUACAAUGUAUCUGACAACUUUGCAUUUUAUCAGUGGACAUUUACCCUCUAGCCACAGUCAGAUGUUGUAUAAGUUGUGACUUACAGUGGAAUGUCUGUUAAUACUUGUACUCUUUCCUCCUGUAGCCAAAAGAGUAUCUGUUCAUUUCCACUGUGAUGCUUGUGUUUCGUCAUUGAGUUGGAAUUCCACUUGUGUCCAAUACAUCAUUCAUGUCGUCAUGAAGUCACAUCUGGUCAUGAAGCUGCACCGUUUUGACAAGCUAACAAUAUUCUAUCUGUUUUUGUCUGGCUUGACCUGCUUCAGCAAGGUGAUUUAAACAUCAUCUGACCAGCAGUGCCCAUUAAAAUCUAACUCAGACCAUGGAAAGAGUAGUAACCACCUUUAGCUGGUCUUUUUCUAAGCCAUCUCAAGGUCGACCUUAUUUAUUUGGCGGUUUAAAGUGCCAGAAAGAGGAAGGAGAGUUUGAUUGACGUGGACGGCCCACUGGCCCUGACAUGGAAUUACAUUUAGAAAUCAAUUACAGGCUAUAUAAUGGAGGAAACACCCCUGAGUGGCGCACAAGCAGCAUUUGAUUAAGGCAGAAGCAGAGAAAAAUAUUACUGUUAAAACACUGCUGCAUACAUGGGAAUUAUAAUACAUGUAACUGCAGAUUGAUGGCAUCUGGAUAGAAAAAACAAGAAAAUCAGGGUGUAAAUAAAAUAAAUAAGAAAAAACUAAAAGAUCCUAAUAUUUGUCAACAUGUUGAAGGAUGGCUCUAUAAUGAAUACAUGAUGACAGCUAUUAUGUUUGAAAUGUAUUAGUAAUAACUAGGGAUCAUACCUCUUACUUGAGAUGAACACAUUUCUUCUACAGAUUUUCUUUUGGACUACAACAAUGCUUUGUCUCAUGCAGAUUAGUUGCUUGGUUUCCAAGGCAACUUGUCUAUUAUCUGUCACUACAUAUUGGCCUGAAAGAGCCCUUACCCUUUUCUUCACUGUGACCCCAGGAGGCCGUUUCCCUCCCACCCUCAGGAACACUGUGUCAAUGAUAAACCACCCAGGAACAUCCACAGUGAGCAGCAGAACCAGUAAUACACAAGCAGGCACGAGACAGGACGUUGCAACAGAGAAAAGAUAUUGCGAGAAACAUACUGCUGAGAGAUCAAAAAUAAUAAAACUAAAAGAGAAGCUAUUCAGUGUGUUCUGUAUUUUAUAAGGCAUGACAAACAGCUUGAUGGUUGAAAACAGAAAUGUAUGCAUGGGUGCGUGUGAAGCAUACUGGGUAAUCAUUUACAGCUUUGGGUUGUAAUUCAUGCGGCUUGUUUGUUGUUAAAAAAGUAGCGUAGCUCAAUCAAAAAGGUAGUCAAUGCCAGAAUCACUUUCAGAAGAAUCCAAAUUCAGUUUACUCUGCUGAGAUGCCUGGUAAACCACCAAUUCUCGCAGGCAGGAAAAACAGCACGCUCGUACAGACCAACAAAAACCACAAAACACUCAUUUUGCACAAAAGAAAACACAGCUUUAAAGCAGGAGAUUUGUCAUUCAUUUGACAACUCAGAAUGCCUUCUUGUCUUGCAGUCGUAGUUCCUCUUUGUAAGCUUUAUUUCCUCAUCUAUCAGGUCUUUUAUACAGUAUGCUGUAAUGUAUAUUCUGGUAUGUACUGAGUUCAUCUUGAAGGUUGAUGUGUUAUUGAGAGGAAAUUGAUUAAAUGAAUAAAGUUUUGUGCCAUAAGCUUAUGAAAUCAAAUACAAAACAACUAUCCAAACAACUGCGAACAUGGAUAUAUAAAAGGCUGACACAGAUGGUGGUGGAAAGCAACUUAAUCUACAAUUUUGAGGUAUUAGUUCUAUUCUUUUUAAUAUUAUUCAAAUGUAUACCUUCUACUCCACUACAUCUCAAAUGUUGAACUCUUUACUUCUAAAACAAAUCUAUGAGUAUAUAAUAUACAGUGCAUUGCUAUAUAGUAAAUUUAACCACCCAACAGUUUACAAAAAAUAAUAAAAUCAACUUCCUUUCAGCCAACCACAACAUUAAAAGCCUACAUGCAUCUUAUAUGUUGCUGUAUCAAUGAUAAUAAUCUUAUAUUAAAGUGACCACAUAGCCCAUUUGGAUGCUUGCUAUGUUCUUUUGUAAUUUAGUUACAUUCACUUUUAAAGGGUCGCUAUUAAACUAAUUUUCAGGUUAAUAUUUGUAUUUUGUGUCUCUACUGUGACAUGUUCACAUGCUUUGAUGUUCAAAAAGCUCUUUAUUUUUCUCAUACUGCCUGUGUUGCAGCUCCUCUUUUCACCCUGUGUCUGAAACCAGAACCCAGUCUGCUCUGAUUGGUUAGCUGGUCGGCUCUGCUGUGAUUGGUCAACCGAUAAAAGAUGUCCUGCCUCUUUUAUUACCUAAUGUAAUUAUCUCUUAAAGUCUUUAGUUACUCAUGCUAGUCAAUUUUUGAUGUCCCAUAUGAAAACAGAUUGGUUGUGCCAUGAACCAAACAGGGAUGUUUUCUAUCCAGGCCUCUUUUUUACCCUCUCAAACUAGAUGGGAAAAAGUGAUUUUCCCAUGGAAAUGUCAAUUUAAGAGUCAAUGAUGUCAUCCAUGCCCGCUCAAGAAGAAACACCCCUGAUUCUAACAUGUAUGAGGUAAUAAUUGGACCUGCGGGACUAAGUAGUGGAGUAUCCUGCAGUAAUAGUUAAGGAUCUGAAUCAGCACAGAGGCGAUUUCAGCACUAUACAAGAGGUCAUAAGGUCAAUAACAACUGAGCAUGUUUUCCACCGACACAGGAGGGGGCAGAAGGAAAACACAAGAUGUUUGCUUUCGUCGACUUCCCUUUAAGUGAGCUUUCAAAGGAGUACACAUGCACCCUAAAUGAGCAUAAUGAGAGAUGGGAAGGUAUUUAUUUAUAAAGGACCACCUACGUAACCCACUUUUGGAUAAAAGAUGGACCUAAACAAUUACGAGGCAGAGGAGAUAAUGAAAGAGUGGUAUAAGUAGUAUAAGACGCACAAGUAUAGGCAACUGCUGUGUGAUAGUCAUUCUUAAAUAUUUAUUUUCAUUUCAUGCUUGAAAAGUUCAGGCAUUUUCUUUUGUGUACCCUUGACGCAACCACACUCGAACCACACUUUACUCCUGUUUAAACUUAGAACGUGUGUGUCCUCUAACUCUGCAGGCUGUACUCCGUCCUGUGUCAACACAAUCAGGAGCAUCUACAUCUAGUAGAAGUCAGUGGGUUUUCAAACUGGCUGUUUGUCCUGGGGGGGUCCCUUACAUACUCCCUUGAACAAGAGACUGGCACCUGCAUUUGCCCUGAUGAAGAACCAGCAAUUUAGAAGCAGAAGCAUUUUUUCUUAUCAUCGCAAUCCCCACUAAGGCGCUGCACAACUUGUUUGUUGGUUUAUCCUUAGGCCUCAAUGAAGCUACGAAAAAUGUUUGGCAAAUUUAACAUGCUAAAUUCAUGAAAAAAAACAAAAACUUAGAUGGAAAUAAAGACAGAUUUACACUUUAAGUAAUAAUUUAGGAUCCAAACAUAUUGUUAUGUAUCAAUACUGUAUAUUCAGAGUAUUGUAAGUAUUUAGUGGGCUGCUACUUUUUUCCAAUAUUAUGUCUCAUUCAUUUUCCGCAUUCUUUCAGUAUUGAGCGUUUCACCACAGCAUAUACACAGCAAGACUCUUUAGGAACAUAGUAGCUUUUGUUAAGUAAGUCACAUGAAUAAACAAUGCACUGCUGAUGGGAGACUUGCAUUACUUGGGUGUUUUAAUGCCAAACAAAUACAAGUCUGCAGACCCUGUGGGCCUCUUAGACCUCCGUUUAUGUCCUUUCCUGCAUUUACAUCACCACUUAGAAGUGCAGUGGUCAGCUGUGUGUAUAUAUAUAUACUGUAUAUAUGGUGCAUGUGCAGGCUGUGUGUCACAUACUUAAACCAAAGGAGUAAUUGCAUAACUCAUUGCAAAGCUGCAUGGCUUACAACAUGCAGUAUGUGCUGAAGAUAGAGCAUUACUGAUUGUUUUUUCACAGAGAGAACAUGUGACUUUGUGAUAAAACAUGUGAUUAUUUUAUCCUACAAGGGUGACAUCAGAUCACUUCCAUAUAGCUUUCAAAUUUGUUUUCAGCUUAGUGCACUUUAGUAGGCUAUAGGAUGAAAUAGCUCUGCUGCUCUAAUGCACUGCUAUAUUAACAGCCGCCCACAUGUCUAAAUCGACAUGUUUAAUUUAGAGGUUUGGUGCACAUAUUUGCUGUAAGUGCAUUUUAGGGUCGCUGGUAAAUGACAGAUUAUUCACAAUUGUGUGAGCCUAUGUAAUCCGUUUCCGCUCCAGUUCAUUCUGUGCAGACCUCAUGUCGUCAUACUGUAGCAGCCUACUGUGGGAGCGCUUCAGCCUCGCAGACAUGAGCAAACAGCCGAAGAAUCAUCCAACAACGAUGCACUUUGCACGGCUGGGAAUAAUGCCGACAGCUGUUAAAUGUCCAAAUAAUAAUUACAGCACGGAACAUUAAGUAGCGUGAUUAUGCGAUCCUGCUUUUUGAUUUGAAUGUUUUAUCUAAAUUGUUAAGAUUAUAUGCUUUAAUGUUAAAAGCUUUGUUUUGUAUUUUAUGCGUACAUUAUAUUUUAAUAAAGUGUAAUUUUAUUUAUAUUAUUCUAUAAAUUGUUAUGAAUACAUUUGUAUUUUUUAUAUAAAUUGCAGUAGUUAUAGUUACAGUAUUAUUUGUAUUGUUUUCAUUCUGUGUACAAGUCCAACUAAAAAAAUUAACAAAAAUAAAACAAACUAACACACAUUCCACAUCCACAAAACAAUAAAAUACAAUUAAGGAAAAACACAAUUUUACUACUUAAGUAGUUUAGUUAGUAGAAGUUAGUAGUAGUUAAGUAAUUUAUAAAUUUUGCAACAAUACCACAUUAUAAAUCCAUUUAUUUUGUAUCUUUUUUUUUCAUGUUGUGUAUUAUUGUUUUGUAUAUUUUGUUUUAUUUAAAUAUAUACGUUUUGCUUUCUGUUAAUCACUCUGAA